UGCUCAAUCGGGAGCACAUACACUAAAACUGGACCAAUAUGGAGAAGAUUAGCACGGCCCCUGCUCAGGAUGACAUGCAAAUUCAUGAAGCGUUCCAUGUGUGA